rnacentral:lncRNA from 1 species
GUGCUCUUCCUUCCAUGCUUGUCCAAAAACCCUAGAUCUGUCCCCCUCGUAGGUAACCUCAACAACCUUUGCUCUCUAUAACUCACACACAACACGCAUACACACAACACACACUGCACAGCACAGCACAGCACAAAAACACAUUUUUCUCUCUGUGUGUGUGUAUUUUUGUAUAUUAACUGCUGUUGUGUUGAUUUCUAGGUGCAGCUUUUUGAGUGAAGUGAAAAAGAGGUGACAAAGGGAAGUGGGGGUGGGUAGAAUUUGGAAAAGAUACUUUCUUGGCGAGGGAGUAGAUGAGUGGCACCUCAACAUCAGUGGUCGGGGGUGGGGGUGAGGGGGGAAUGGGGUAUGGGUAUGGUUACCGGCCACCGUUUACUGCAGUGCAAUGGCAGGAGCUAGAACAUCAAGCAAUGAUAUAUAAGUACUUAGUGGCAGGUCUUCCUGUGCCACCUGAUCUUGUUGUUCCUAUUCGUCGUAGCUUUGAAGCUAUCUCAGCUAGGUUCUUUCAUCAUCCCAGCUGUAUGUUCUUUGCUCUUUUACUUAUUUUUAUCAAUAUCUAUUUGGAAAAUGAAAAGAAUUUGCUCUCUGGCUUAAAUAAGUAAGCAUUUUGUGAUCUGUUGAAAAGAAAUUGAAGAUUUAACUCACUUUGAUGGUAUAAAUGAAGCAUGCAGAUCUGAGAAGAUGUUUUUUUGGCAUUCUUGAAAAUUUUCUAUCUUGUUGUGGAUGUGGAAUUAUUACCAUUUCUUGUUCAUUGUUUGGGAAUAGGGAGCCUUGGAGUGACCGGUAAAGUUGAUGCCAUGUGACCAGGAGGUCAGCGUCCAAGCUUCGGAAACAGCCUCUUGCAGAAAUGCAAGGUAAGGCUGCGUACAAUACACCCUUGUGGUGGGCCCUUCCCCGGACCUGCGUAUAGCGGUAGCUUUAGCCCUUUCUUGUUCUUUGUUUGGGAUCAGAGUAAUGGUUUUUUUUUUUUUGUAUUUAAUCUGUAUAUCCUUAAUGGUUUGGUUCUAGGAGAGACUUUUUUCUUUUAUCUGUUUAUCCAUUUUGAUCUCUACCUCGAGGUAGAGGUAAGGUACACUCUACCCUCCCCGGUCUCCAAUUUGUGGGAAUACUCUGGGUGUGUAAUGUUGCUGUUUAUCCAUUUUUAGUGGAAGAUUGCUUGUCUAGUCUAUCUGGGGUUGGUUUCUAAUGUAUUAUAGCUUUGUCUUCUCUAUGUCAAUGUUGUAACAAAACACUUAUCUUUGCCUUUCAGAGGCUUAUCCGGUGUUUAUUUAAGUUGUGUACUGUCAUGAACGAAGGCAGAUCUAGAAUUUUAAUUUAAUGGAUUGAACGAUUUAAAUUCCUAGCAAUCAACUCAGUGUACUUCUAAAAUAAUGGCUUCAGAAUCUAAUCUUUGUUGAAAUUCUGUUGUUUGAACCUGUAGCACUAAGGCUACAUCCCCAACUGAUCACGAAUAGUAUAUAUAUACGUGCUUACAUUUGAUGAAUGUGUUUAUGAAAGUGCUUCAGUAGUGGCAACUCUGUGGUCUGAUAUGCUCCUAUUUCAUUAAUUUCUGAUUGCUGUGUGGCUAGUUAGAUCUUGGUGUAUAUAUAUAUAUAUAUAUAUAUAUAUACACACACACACACACACAUUCUUUUCUCGUAAAAGGACUUCUUUCAGGGUGGUAGCUCGCUCAGUAUGGAGCUUAAUGGUUUAAAUCUUCUAUGUGCAGUGGGCUAUUGUUCCUAUUAUGGAAAGAAGUUUGAUCCUGAGCCUGGAAGGUGUAGAAGGACUGAUGGAAAGAAGUGGAGAUGCUCGAAAGAUGCAUAUCCCGACUCCAAAUAUUGCGAGCGUCACAUGCAUCGAGGCCGCAACCGUUCAAGAAAGCCUGUGGAAUCUCAAUCUACUUCCCAAUCCUUGUCGACUAGUAUGUCACAAAUUACAACUGGGAGCAGUAAUACCAGAGGAAGUUUCCAAACUAGCGGCAGCGGAAGCUUCCAAAACAUGCCAUUGUAUUCUGUUGCUAAUUCAGGAGCGCUGAAUUAUGGAAGCACUGCAACAAAGUUGCAGAAGGAGCCUGUCUCCUGUGGAAUAGAUAACAAGGACUAUAGGUACAUCGGUUUGUCCUCCGUAGUUCUUCUUUCCCUUGAAUUACUGAAAAGAUUGUUUCUUCAAGCCUGGAUCUUGGACUGUGUCAUGUUGUUUAACGUGUUUGUUUCAAAAAAUGGUUCUGUUCUCUGUCCUUUUUCUUUGGCUGAUAAAGAUAGAUAUGUGAACUCAAAGCCACAUUAGGAGGAUGCUAUAUAGGAUUCGGGGGACUAUAAUCAUGACAUUAAGGUUUUCCUUUCGUCAACUUAUGACCCAUUUUGUAGCCCGUACACCUAAGUGCAUCUUUCCGCUUCUGCUAAUUUGAGACCUAUCUGCAUUGUAUAAUUUUGAUAGCCUAAUAAUUUAUUAUUGAUCCACCUCUUAAUACUAUUUACUUCUCCCUUUGGAGCUGUUUAUCUAUCAAGGUGCUGACCUGAAUAGGUGUAGAAAGACCGAUUGUUUUCUUAUGCAUCAACUUAUACCAUUGACAAAGACGAUAUAUAGUGAGGGUGAGAGCACAAAUAGCUAUUGUGUCUCAAGUGUUUCUUUAAAACAUGGUGGCCCUUCAGGAUUGUCAAUUUUCAGGUCAGAGUUGUGUUUGGAUCUUGGAAAAUUUAUGUAGUGGCUGGGUAAAGAUAUCCUAGGUGUGAUAUGGAUAGAAUUUCGUGCAACAGGAAAAUGCGUCUGAUUGCUGGUGUCAGUUGCAAAAGUGUGUCCUUGAGUGUAUUCUUCAUGCUACUUGAUGGAAAUUGCCAUUUGUCUUGUAAAAUGAACUUGAGUUGCACUUAACCCAGAGGGAGAGGAGAGGGGAAGAAAGAUGGAGAGAGUUGUGUAACCGAUUCACAGGAAUCUUUCAUCAUUUUACUGGUAUAGUUUGAAAUAGUUCUUAGGGAAUUGGAAUAUAGUUGGCUCUUUAGUACUUUCAAGGAGGAGCAGCGUCAACAUUUGCAUGCAAGAGCCAACUUGACUCCCAUUAAUAUGUUAAAACCAGAAUGAUCAAGUAUCUAUCUACUUACUUACCUAGAUCCCACAAUGCAUAUAGAGUGUUUCAUUAGCAUGUCACUUGCGUUUUUGAUCGGUAUUAGCAUGACACAUGCUUGCAGAACUCAGUGAUGAAAUGUUGGAAAUGUUCCGUACUACCACACUCAUCUUGUUUUUCUCACUGGCAUUACCCUUCUACCAAGUUGCCUUGUAGUCUUUGCCUAGUGUAUAUGUUGCUGAAGGAUGCAUAAUCCCUGCUAACUGUGUACCGGCUGUCCUUGUCUUUCUUGUUUUCUUGCUAGUUGCUUCCUUUUUGUUUCUAUGUGAAUUCCGUUUCUUUUCUUUUGGGGGGGUUAUGGUGGGGGGGUAAAGGUAGUACUUCUGAUCCUUUUCCUUUUAUGAAGUUGACUGUGAUCUUGGGAAUUUGAAGAGGCUAAUUUGAUAAAAUACUACAUAUAGUUAGGGUACUUUGCGUUGUCCUCCUUUUAAUACUGUUCUUGACUGCUGACGAUUGGUUAAAAAGUAAGAUGUCUAAUAUGCUGUCAGUUUGUAUUGGGUUCACAGAAAUGUGUUGUAACAUCCAGUUUCAUUAAUGACCACCACAGGUAUCUCCAUGGAAUUGCUCCAGAUGCUGAUGAGCAUAAUUUAUCUUCAGAAGCUUCUGCAACUGUCAGAAGUUUUGGGAUGGGGACCAACACAGACGGUACCUGGGUAUUUCCUUCUCAAGUUUCUUCAAGCCCCAUGGCGAGACAAAAGAAUGAUUCCCAGAUGCUGGGUAGCUCAACAGAGAUGCAUCUACCUAAUCUACUUGAGCCUAUGAUUGACUCAACAAUUUCAAAGCGACGACACCAGCAUUGCUUCUUUGGCAGUGACAUUGAUUCACCUGGAACAGUAAAGGAGGAGCAGCAGCAUUCGAUGCGCCCUUUCUUUAACGAAUGGCCCACUGCUAAAGAAUCGUGGUCCAACCUUGACGAUGAGGGAUCCAACAAAAACAAUUUCUCCACUACACAACUAUCCAUAUCCAUUCCAAUCGCUCCUUCCAACUUCUCUUCAAGGAGUGCUUGCUCCCCAAAUGGUGAAUAUUAACAUCCUUCCAUUGUAGUAGUCUAGUCUUUUACAACAAACUUACCGAUAUCUUUUGGUUUUCCUUAUCGCCUGCAGAUGCUUGAGGGAGCUGCCGCUGUAUAAACUCCAAGCAGUUUGGUGCAAAGCAGAGGAACAGACAUGCUACUGCAAACCAACAUCUGCUCGUACGAGCUAUAUGUAACCUUUAUGUUGCUGGGAUAUUGAGUUAUUCCAUGUUUUUGUAGUUGAUUUUCUAAUGUCAACAAUGUUUUAAGAAGAAAAAAACGAGUUUUCUUCGAAUGAUGCUCAUGUGUAUUGUCGAAAAUAAAUGUGUUUUACCAGCCAUUCUGCUGGGGUGAGAUGAUUACUCUUGUGAUUUAAGUUGUAAAUUUGAUCUCCUUAUGUUCAUUGGUGCAAUUUCAUAUCCACCUCAUUGAAUUAAAUAUUGUAGCUGUUGGAUUUAUUUUCCUUCUAGAUAAAGAAAGGCUUAUUUGCUUUUUAAGACAUUACAUAUUAGUCAAUUGACUUAAAUUUUGCUCUGCAAAUUUAUGUGCUUGCACAAGUUUGGAUUAUUAGCACCUUACUGAAGUAAUGAUUUAACUACAUUCUCAUUAUUAAUUCAUAUGUUAUGCUCUUAAGUCAACCUAUGAUUUAAAAAAAAAAAAACUUGUUCUAUUUAGUGAUUUGAUAAUUUGUGAUAGUGUUAACACUUACAUUUUGACUAUUUGAUGGCUCAAUUUCAACAAAUAAAAGGGAAUGUAUUCAUUGACUAACACAUUUAUUUUAUUGUACACUGAAAAGAACUUGUAAACAAACGUUUGAGACAAUGAUGACAUCUAUUGUCUUUUUUAUUGUAGACUAUCUGGUAUUCAGAACUCACUGGGCUUCGAACAGACUCAUUCUUCUAGACUAUCUGGUAUUUGGAACUGAUUGGGCUUCAAAUAGGCCUAUUAAGAGAGUACAACACUUUCAGCUAAAAAGUUAAAGCAGUAUUUAUUCUUGGGAACAAACCUCAAGAGAUAAUGAGUAAAGAUGACGGUAUUCAAACUAUUCCACCACAUUCAUUGGGCUUAAGUUAUCGAUAGAUUCUUAAAUUUAAUUUGUAUUUCUUAAUUUACCAUUGUACCUAUUAUUAUCGGGCAGAAAAUAAGCAAAUCACAAGCAAAAGAAAAAACAAGAACACACAGAUUUACGUGGAAACUCUUGCGGAAAAAAACACGGACAGAGACAAGGAAGUUUUCCCUAUAAUGGAGGGAGAGUAUAAUGUUGGAGACAAUAGUCUCAAUUUUGGUGUAUGUAAGAAUAAUAUCUGAAACAGCCCACUAAAUCGCACUUAUCUAAUACGUGCGUACAAAUAGGUUUUAGGCCCCAAAACACCCUACGCUACCACCACAGACCCUAUUGAAAAUCACAAACAUUGGUCGCACCGUGAAACUUUCAGGGCCGGAUCCACAAAAUUCUGGUCACAACUCUAAAAGUACCUAUUGAAUACUUUAACUAUUCAAAAGUCAUUCCUAUUAGAACAAAAUGGUGAAAUAGCGAAAAAAAAAAAGAAAGUGUUUCACACUCUUGAGGUGCGUAAACCAAAUUUAAAAGGUAUUUUUUUCAACUUUUACAACAAAAAAUAAUUUUUUAGAAUGAUUACUUUUUUUUUAGUCAUCUUCUCCACUUCUAUCCCCUAUCAUCUUCUUCAUCCAAAUCGCCACUCUCUCUCCCCUUCUUCCUCCCUUUCUAUUCAAUUCUUUUUCUAAAUAUUUUUUAUCUUGUUUAAAUUUCUUGCACUUGUUUAUAAGAAAAAGUAGAUAUAAAUUUUUAAUUUAUUUUUGACAAAGUCUUUUUUUUUUUUCUUAUGAAAAAAAUCUUAAGGACGGACAAAAAGGAAAGGUAAGGAAGAAAAUUUUUCUCUUAUUCACCAUUGAUAGCAACAACAAGAGAAUGGAGAAACUUAGCACAAAAUCGACACCCAUUAGCAAUGACAAUAUACUCCCUCAGACUAACUCAUUCAGUUUUUUUUUUUUGGCGAAUCUUGUCAUCCUAUCAGAAAAAUCCUUUGAUCAAUCACCAACGAGCUCUACCUCGACUCACAAAGCUUCGAUGCCCGCUAAUUUAAGUCAUUUUCGGCAAAAUUUCGUCAGCGAAAUACCAUCACCACCGACAACUCUGGUCAUCCAACCAAGUUACCAAACAACAACACGUCAUAAAAAAAAAUAGAGAAAGCAAUCGAAGAGAUAAAUCGAACUAAACUCGAACAAUAAGAAAGUGGGGUUCCAUGGACAAGAAGAGGGUUUGGGGGGUUCAUUUUUAUUUGUCACUUUAACACAUCAUGAAAGAUUAUUUUUUAAAAAAUAUUUCACCUCUAACAUUAAAUAUUUAUUCUCCAAACUAUUUUUCAAUAUUUAAUACUCCUAUUAAAUAUCACUUAAUAAAGAUAACACAAUAAAAUAAUCACUUCAAUCACUAUUUUUUUAAUAAGAAUGUCAAAUUCAAAUUAAAUGUGUCAGAUAAAAAUGGAUGAGAAAGAGUAUUUCUUGAUUUUCUCUGGUUUGGUAUCCAUUAUUUCAUUAGAAACUGAGACCUUGAAAUCUAAUUGAUCACUUGUUUCUUCCAAUAAGUUUUUCACUCUUGGAUUCCACAUCCCAGAUAAGAGAAACAGCUACAACUACUUAGCAAUUUAGUAUAUGCAGUAGGUGUUUGAUCAUGAAAAUUUUAAAAAUAUAUAUUUUAUUUAAAAAAUUUAAAAUUAAAAUUGAAAUUGAAAUUGUGCUUAGUCAUAAUUUUUGCAAUCAAUAGUUAAAUUUCUUAUAUUUUUUUUAAAAAUAUAAAAUAUAAUUUAAACAUGAAAUAUUAUUUAAAUGAGAUUAUUUUAUGAAAAUAAAACUUUAAUUAUUUUUUAAAAAAUUAUUAGAAAGUGAAAACAUGAUUUUGACUGUUUUCAUAAUUUCAAAUACAGCUUCAAGUUGUAUUUCUCUUUUACAACGAAAAAAAGGUUUAAAAAGAGGGCUUGGGGGUAUAUGUACUAUACAAGUUGGUUUGAUUUAUCAUUAUUAGAACAUAGAUCAAUCUAGAUUGAGCCGACACAUUAUGCAUUGCGAUGUGACGAAAAUUUUUAUGGUCAAACGUUGAUUUUUUAAAUAAAGUAAAAAAUAUUUCUAAAAAAAAAAGAAGUGAAAUUUAUUCAUGGUCAGAUGAGUAUUAACUCAAUAAUUACACACCCAGUAUGGAUGGGCAGCAGAGAUGAACCUACAUAUUUUUUGAAAUCUUUCAAAAAAUAAUUUAUCAUAAUAAUUAUAGGAAAUUCUUAAAAGCUUGAGGCGUAUAUUGUUAGAAAACUAAGUAUUAUUGUAUAUUAAAAAUAAUAAUAUUAAUAUUGCUAAUUCCUUUUUAACUGUAUUUGCUAAUCUUUAAUACCUCUCUUUUAUUAGCUAUUAUUUUAAUACCAAAUAAGGCAUUGAUCAUAUAUUUACUAGCUGUUAUAAAAUAACGACAAACUAUCAAUAUCAAAAUUAAAAUAAAGGAGAGAACUAGAGAGAAUUUAGUAGUAUAUUUGUUGCUACUUUUAUGUGUCAAUAGGAUGUACAAAUGAUAGACACCAAAUUCAGCUUCUAAGGUUGUCAAACUUGACUUUAAAUUAGCAAGUUGGCAAUUUGGCCAACGAAUCAAGUAUUAAAAUAUAAUUUGAACAAGUAAUUUAUGGUCUUGAAAUUCAACUUGACUAUUAACUAUUAUCUCUAAUAAAUGACAUUAACACAUAUACAUGUCACAUGACAUCCAUAUUAUAUAACACUCCCUCUUUGAUGUCCAUUAAUAGAUAACGUGUCUCGUUAAAACCUUAUUAGAAAAAAUCCAAUGGGAAAAAUCCAGUAAAGAAAAAAGAGUACACACAUCUUGUAAUACGCCUUUGUUGUUGCCUCAUUAAAAAACUUAUCAGGAAAAUCCGAUUGGGACAAAACCUUGGUUAAGGAAAAAUGAGUACAACACAUAUUUACUCCCCCUGAUGGGAACUUCAGUUUAAUGACAUGAAUUUUUGCAUCCCGAUCUUGUGCAUCAUCUUCUCAAAAGUUAUAGUUGAAAGAGACUUGGUGAAUAAAUCAGUCAUACUGCCACUUGAAUGAAUUUGUUGCACGUUAAUAUCACCAUCUUUUGUAGCUCAUGUGUAAAGAAAUUUUUUGAUAAAGUGUGCUUCAUUCUAUCUUCUUUUAAUGAAUCCUCCUUUAAGAGGUUCUAUGCAUGCUGCAUUAUCUUUGUAUAAAAUUGUGAGUACAUUGUCAUAUUUCAAAUAAUAUUUUUCUCGAAUGAGGUGUAUCAUGGACCUCAACCAUACACAUUCUCGACUUGCUUCAUGAAUAACUAUUAUCUCAGUAUCCCCAUAUGUCAACAUAUUGCAUGUUUGAGAUCGAAAUUUAUGUGGGUUAAAUAAAUACCCAACAUCAAUAUAAUCAACAAGAUCGGGACUGUAAUCUUUAGAAUAAAAUAAGAUCAUGUGUUUGAUUCCAUUUCGAUAUCUCCUAAUAGGAGAAGAAUUACACCUUGCUAACAAAUUAACCGAAAAAGGCUUAUAUCAGAUUUAAAAGUAUUUGCAGGGUACAUUAGUACAUCAAUUACACUAAGAUAUGGUACUUAAUAACCAAUUUUUUUGGCAUAUUUCUCAUGUCAGCAAAUAAUCUAUUGCUUUUGAAAACUCUCCAAGAGUUUCAAUAAUUUUCAAGUUAUAGAUUUAUGCAAUAUAAGGAUUAUGGAUAAGUUUUUCAGAAACCUUUAUAUGCUUCAAACAUUGUGAAUCCUUAACAAGUUUCAUGUAAAUUUUGUCAACUGACAAUAUUCAGCAUUUCAUCUGUGACAUCUUCAAGUGUCUGGACUGCAAAUCAAAUAAGUGUUAUACUUAUCAAGAUGUAUCCUUUUAUGUCUUUUCAACGUAUGUUCAUCAAUGGACAAAUAUUUCAUUUGUCAAACACUCCAAGUAUACAUCCAGUAGUACGCAUUGUUAGCUGCCUCAUUAAAAAUUUUGUCAGAAUAAUCCUGUGGGAUAAAACCUCAGCUAAGAAAAAAAGAGUGCGCAGCGUGCGUAUUGUACUCGCAUUGUUUAAAACACACUUUAUUCUUAUAAAUGAUGCUCCGCAAUUCAUAAGUACAUCAACUACACUAAAACAUAGUACUUACCAAUCAUUUUCAUGAGAUCAAAAUUGAUCUGUUUUCAAGUUAAGCGAUCUUUAUAAUCAUGGGGUAUCCAAUAAAAUCGCUUUAUAACAUUUUAAAUCCUUCAAGGAUAUUCAUAUAAAUUUGUCAUCUAGCUAGACAUGACAAUAAUUCACUAUACAUAUUCAAGCUUUUCGAUAUUGUCAGACUGAAACAAACCUCAUUUCAUCCACCAAAGGAGAACAAUUCUCCUACAAUAAUGCCAGGAACCAAAAACUUUGUGAAAUCUUUAUGCCUCAAGGCACAAGUCAUACUUUAUAUCUUGCGAAUUUUACUUUAGCAUAGUAAAUCAUUUGUACCCCACUAGCAUUAUACCUCUUGAAUUAUGAGUCCAACUAUUCACUUUUCAAGUGAAAUAAAUUACUUGAAUUACAUAUUUUUAUUUGGACAAUAAUUUAUCUAUCCAUACUCUUUGACAGAUUUGUAUUCAAGAUCCUCGAUACUCUUUAUAAUGUUAAGCGCUAUAUAUAUCAAAGAUAUCAUCGACGAUUGUUUGAUAUCGGCCCGAAUGAGACAUAACUUAAUAAAGAUCUCUUCAUAUUCAUUACUAUUCAGGUACCUGAACCUUUGCCAAGGUUUUAUGAAGUGUUAUGUCGGUGCUAAAGCACUUGCCUCAUUAUCAUGAACAUCUUGAUCAUUUGCUCUUUUCCUUCUUUGAGAAAUUUUACCUUUAGAACUAAUUGAUCUAUCACGCUUCAGGUGUGUCAUAGACUCUGUCCUUUUAUGAAUUUUUCAUUGGAGCAUUUUACAGUUGAAUUAUCAUAUAGAGUUAGCAAAUAUAUCUGACAAUUAGCUUGCAACAUUUUGCAAAUGAAUUAUCUCUUGAACUUCAAGUUUACAUAUACAUUUUUUAUGAGGAUCUAGAUAAGUCAUUUCAUGCAUAAUUUUCAACUGUUAUUCAACUCUCUACCUAAUAUUAGAAAAUUUAACAUUUAUUCUCAACUUUAUUUUGGGAUUUAUAUUUGUGCAUUGUGAUGAAGAAAUUGUAUCAUAUGCCGCACACCAAAAUUUUAAGAUGAAAUUUAUCUGGUUCUUGACCUUGAACCAAUAGUAAUAGGGGGAGCCUUGUUGGCUUGAUGCAUAUGAAUGCUGCUAUAUUUGAAUGACACAUCUCAUAUCAAAUUUCUUUUGGGAGAUUUGUUCUCAUAAUCAAUGAUUUAGCUAGAAUUGGAGGCAUAUAAUUUCUACCAAACCAACCAGCAUUAUCAACAUAAUUUAUAGUUUGGAGCCAUGCUCUUAAUUUAAUAAUUCGAGCAAACAACUUUGUAAAAAUCAAAUUGCAAGUUAAUAGAAAAGCACAUGUGACCAUAUCAUAGAUACAUAUAUUAAACUAUAUAAUAGCAAUCGGUCCACAUGGCAGGUGAACGGGCUCAUAUUCACCUUUUUGUAUGUUUCAAAAAAUUUAGAAAAUACAUUUCCAACCUUAGCUGGUACAAUGAUCAAUUCAUUGUGAGAACAAGCAGUACAAGAGAAUCCGUGAAGAAUCUUUUAUUUCUUCAAUAUAUAACCACAUGAAUUCUCAAUUAUUUUUGCAUCACAUUUGAACUGGGAUGGUCAACUGUCAUGCCAACUGAUAUUUUUUUCAGUAAAUUUUUAAUUUACUAUUGUAUGUGAUUCUGUCAUCAUGCACAUAGUUGUGUAUUACAAUAAGAGAAAAAGCGUGGAUAGCCUUACCAGCGUCGAUUGUAGUAAUAAAAAGAUAUAACAUCUUUCCAUUAAUUAUAGUCUCAAUAUAAUUUAUUUUUAAUAAAAUAUUUAAAACUUAAUAAGUUUCUUUUGAGACUUACUACAAUCUCAAUAUUAUGAACAAUUUCAUUCCUCCAGAUAGUAGCACUUAAGCUCUUUUGGAGCUCUCAAUUAAUUUCGUGUACUAAACAUAUUUCACACACCACUCAUAUGGUGAACAUCUCUUUCAAGGAGAAAAUCAUAUAAGUACGGCCAUAAUCUUAAGACAUUAUAUAGGCAAGACUUGUUUCUUGCUUUUACCCUUUGACAAUCCAUGAUAAAUAUAUCAAAAAUAUUUAUGCCAUACUACAACUCUACAAGUACACGAUCAAUGAUCGUUUAUGUCAAAAAAAAAAUUUUCUUCAAACCUUCCGUAGAGGUGAGAUGUGACAUUUAUCCAACCAUGCAUCAACAUGUCUUUAUUAAUAAUUUGUAUCUCAUCUUGACACAUUCAUUUCAAGAAUGAUCGAGCAUUAAUGAUGCUUUAUCACAAAUCUCAUUCUUUUCAAGGAAUGAAUUAUAAUCAUAUUCACAUGCUUCAUAAAUUUUUAUUAGAAGCUCAUUCUCACGCUAUGAAAUUUAUUAUAUUUACAUGACAAACCUCAACAUCACUUUGAAAGGUCAAGUGAUCCAUCACUUUAUAUUCCUUUAUUUCGAUGGAGGAUUUAUAAAAUUUAUAUCAAAUUAGGUCGCACGACAAUCACGUGUGCAAUGAACUUUCACACCAUGCCCAUAAGUGGCAAAAAUUACCUUAAUAUUUUGAAGGAUCAUUUGAGAACUCAUAAUGUUCUUUGAAGAAUAUAACCUUCUAAUUCUUUAAUAUAUAUGUUAUGUAAUACUCAAUGUGCAUAUCUUCGAGAUGGCAAAAUCUUUUAUGCCAAUUUAUGAACUUAUUUGUACUAGUAAACUUUGAGUUUACCAUGACAUAUGAGUUUUACUUAGUAUAUUUCAAAUUUACUAGAACAUGAAUAAUUUUCAAGUUUGCUAUUUUGGAGUAUAUUUCAUAAUAUUAUUUCUUCUCAAUUAUUCUACCUCUUAUGGGGGUGUUACUCCUAUCACAUUCACCCCAGGGAGUGGAUUUGUAGUUUUAACAAUCAAAAUUCUCAUUCCCCAGAAAUGAAAUAUAAUGAUGUCUUAAGCCUAUAAAAUUAUGAUAGCUUAGAAUUUCUUUCAAGAUUUGCUCCUUCAUGAGCAAAUCGAGGCAUACAUAUAAUGUAACGAAAUAUUUUGUCCUUGUUACGCCUAUAUUCAUAUUCAUAAAUUCAAUCACAUGUCUUCUUUCAGGCAUGCUAUGCACUGCAUGCUACCACAUUCACUUCAAGGAAUUGAGCAUAUUCAAUGAAACAUAUUUCAUGACUUUUCAACAAAAUAUUGCCUUAGUCAUUAUUAUAUCAUAAAUAUGUUGUAUUGAGAUUAAAACUCAACGACUUAUCUAUAUAAAGACGUCUUAGGCUAAAAAUCAAUGAGACUUGAACCCAACAUCUUAUCAUUAUGAUGCAUGGGGACUCUUAACCCAAUGUCUUACCUUCUUAAUGGCAUGAGAUUUAAAUCCAUCAUCACACCCUCGACCAAUAACAUAUUAGGCCAAAGUAUAAUAAACUCAAACUUGAGUCUAUAACAAUAUCAUCGCUUUGUGAUUAUCAAUACAUAUUAUUUUCAAAAUUAAUUAAAGAACAUAAGUUAGUAAUAUACUUAUCUUGUCAUAAAUAGUAGAAAAGUGAAACCCAAGUCGUGAUGAUCGCAUAGUUCUUGCGGUCUUGCCUUCUCCACCUUUCGAUUCAAUUUUCUUUUCUUAGCAAUCAAAUUUUGAGACGGUAGAGUUUCGUGCUAAUAACGUGUUAUAAAAUAAAGACAAAAUAUCAAUAUCAAACUUUAAACAAAGGAGAGAACUAGAGAGAAUUUAGUAGUAUAUUUGUUGCUACUUUUAUGUGUCAGUAUAAAUGGUGGCUAUUUAUAGACACCAAAUUUAGCUUAGUUCUAAGGUUGCCAAACUUGACUUCAAAUUAACAAGUUGACAAUUUGGCCAACCAAUCAAGUAUUCAAAUCCAAGUAAUUUAUGGUCUUCAAAUCCAAUUUGAUUACUAGUUAUUAUUUCUAAUAAAUGACAUUUCACACGUAUACAUGUCACACGACAUCCAUGUUAUAUAACACUAGCCUUAAUAAGGCAAAUUUAAUUGGUACCUUUUUGGUCAAAGAAAUUGAUGCCCGAAGUUCCGUUUAAAUUUGUUGUUGCCUAAAGUUUCAAGUUUCUUUCUUUCAAUUCUUUAUAUUACCUUCAGGCAUUUACUAUGGAAUUUGCAGCGAUUCUUUUUGAUCCAUAUUUUGUUUUUGUUGGGAUAUAAAGGAAGCUAUAAUCUUAUUUUCCUCUUUUUCCUUUGGCUGGACUUCUACUAUAAAUGUUUAUUAGUUUCUGGCUCUACUUUAUUACUAAGAGAACUGGUUGCAUAUACAUCUUAAUCGAUGAAAUAGCCUUGAAUACGGUGUCAUAGGUAUACCUGAAAUUAUUUUAUUUUUUUUGCAAUUCUUCAAUAUUUUUCAACAAUCUUAAGAAUAUUCUUACAAAUUACGAGAACAAAAAGAGGAUCGUUUUCUAUCAAAUGGCUAAAUCAGCAGCAGGUUGCUAUUAUAAGCCCAUAAUAUUAUGCACCAUAUACAAUUAAAUUGAACAUUGUGGGGGGGAAACUCAUGACUUUGUCUAACGGGACUUUUGAUGUAAAAGAAAAAAAAAAUUCAUUGUUAAGGAUUGACUUUUGAGAUUGGUGUAAUUAAGGCUUUGAACUACAUGAUGCAUUAUCGAAGCACAAAGUAAAUUUCUAAAUGACCUGUUAAUUGAUCCUGUAUUUGGAGCUAAUAUUGUAGAAUUCAUGCUUCAAUGUCAAUUGUAAAAGAAAUUGUAGAAUUUAUUUGUCUUAAUUGAAGAACUAUUCAAGUUCUUGUAAAAGAAAAAACUUGCAAACUUCCUGUAAAAAACUAAUAUUAGAUAGUUAGGUUGUCACUCGGAAUAACUUUGUAGUCCUUGCAAAGACCUUUAUCUCUCUUCCUCAAGAGAAAGUAGUCUAUACAGGAGGUAAGUAAGUGGCUUUCCUUCUUCGACUUAGCUAUCACCAUCUCGAACAUAAAUGCUAUAAAAUUUAAUAAUUAAAUAUGACCUAUAUAAAAUUUAUCUUCCGUGAAAUGAGAAAGGAAUAACAAUAUUAAUGAGAAAAAAUAUAUACUAGUAAUUGUAGUGCUCUUUAAAAACGAUUUUAAUUGGCGAUGGACUUUUUUAUAUCACUAAUAUUCUUAUUUAGUAAAUCAAAACUUCUAAAAUAUAUAUAAAUAAAUGUUAUAAUUGUAAUGAUGACGCGGAAUAAAUGUGCAACACACGUUUUCAAUACUAGUACAUAGUAAGCAUACUCAAAAACAGAAUUGUUCUCAAAUCAUGAACAAAAAUAAUCAAAUAUAACCAAUCUCAAUAUAACUAAUCCCAACAUUUUCAAUACAUCCUUCCUAUUCAAUACUUUCUUAUAUGCUCCACCGAACGAACCAAGUUAAUUGGCUCUAUAGCAACAACAUAAUCAAUAAAAUAUCACAAGUAAGAUUUGAGAAGCGUAGAGUAUAUACACGCCUAACCACUAUUUCGAAGAUAUGUUUCUUUUCGAAAGACAAUCGACUCAAGUGUAGCAAAUAAAACUAUAAAGAAUCAAAAAAUAAUGACUACGAACACAUAACAACCGACAAUGAAUGCCUUUAUAUCAAAGAAUAAUUUUAAAAUAUUAAAAUAGUGAGUAAUUAGUACUUCAUUUGUCUCAAUUUAUGUGACAUUUUUCAUUUUUUAAGAAUGAAACAAUUUAAAUUUGAUCGUGGAUUUGGAAAAGAUCUCAAAUUUUUUGAAAUAAAAUUUAUAUAUUUAAAAACUACAUAAAACAAUCAAAGAUAAAUUGUUUUGAAUUUCAAAAUCAAAUGGUACUAUAUAAAUUGUGACGGAAUUAUCUCAGUCUAUGUGAAAGGUAACCAAGUGGUUUUCCUUUUUUGGAGAGCACGAAUUAGCUAUCACCAUCUCGAACAUAAAUGCUAUAAAAUCUAAUAAAAUGUGACCUAUAUUAAGUUUAUCUUUCAUGAAAUGAAAAAGGAAUGACAAUAUUAGUAAGAAAAAUAUACACUAGUAAUUGUAGUGCUCUUUAAAAGCGAUUUUAAUUGGCGAUGAACUUUUUUAUAUCACUAAUAUUCUUAUUUUGUCAAUCAAAACUUCUUAAAUAUAUAUAAAUAAUGUUAUAAUUGUAAUGAUGACACGGAAUAGCGUGCAACACAUGUUCUCAUAACUAGUACAUAAUAAGCCUACUUAAAAACAGAAUUGUUCUUAUACACUAAAUCAAAUCGUGAACAAAGAUAACUCAAAUAUAACCAAUCUCAAAUUACCAAUCUCAACAUUUUCACUACAUCCUAUUCAAUACUUUCUUAUAUGCUCCACCGAACAAACCAAGUUAUUUGGCUCUAUAGCAAUAACAACACAGUCAAUAAAGUAACACAAGUAAGGUCUCGAAAGCGUAGAGUAUAUAUAGACCUACCCACUAUCUCAUGAAGGUAGAUAUGUUGUUUUCGAAAUACACUAGGCUCAAGUGUAGCAAAUCGAACUAUAAAGAAUCGAAAAACAAUGACGACGAACACAUAACAACCAACAAUGAAUGCCUUUAUAUCAAAGAAUAAUUAUAAAUAUUAAAAUAGUGACUAAUCAGUACUUCAUCUGUCUCAAUUUAUGUGACACUUUUCAUUUUUUCAAAAAUGAAACAGUUUAAAUUUGAUCGUGGAUUUGGACAUGAUCUCAAUUUUUUUAAAAUAAAAUUUACAUAUUUAAAAACUACAUAAAACAAUCAAAGAUAAAUUUAUUUGAAUUUCGAAAUCGAAUGGUGCUACAUAGACUAUUUCAGAUUUAUCUCCCUUCCUCAAGAGAAAGUAGUCUAUACGAAGGAUAACCAAGUGGCUUUCCUUCUUUGUGAAGCACAAAUUAGAUAUCACUAUCUCGAACAUAAAUGCUAUAAAAUCUUAUACUAAAAUAUGACCAAUAUUAAAUUUAUCUUCUGUGAAAUGAGAAAGGAAUAACAAUAUUAAUGAGAAAAAUAUAUACUAGUAACUGUAGCGCUCUUUAAAAGCGAUUUUAAUUGGCGAUUAACUUUAUAUCACUCAUAUUCUUAUUUUGUAAAUAAAAAAUUCUAAUAUGUAUAUAAAUAAAUGUUAUAAUUGUAAUGAUGACACGAAAUAAAUGUGCAAAACACGUUUUCAAGCUUAGUAUAUAAUAAGCAUGCUUAAAAACAGAUUUGUUCUUAAUACAUUAAAUCAAAUCGUGAAUAAAAAUAACUCACAUAUAACCAAUCAUAAUAUUACUAAUCCUAAUAUUUUUAAUACAUUUUAUUCAAUACUUUCUUAUAUGCUCCACAAAACGAACUAAAUUAUUUGGCUCUAUGGCAACAACAACAUAGUCAAUAAAAAAUCACAAGUAAGGUCCGAGAAGCGUAGAGUAUAUGCAGACCUAACCACUAUCUCACGGAGGUAGAUAUGUUGUUUCUGAAAGACACACGGCACAAGUGUGGCAAAUCAAAUUACAAAGAAUCAAAAAAUAAUGAUGAUGAUAAAAACAGUGACGCCGAACACAUAAAAACCAACAAUAAAUGCCUUUAUAAUAAAGAAUAACUUUAAAAUAUUAAAAUAGUGAGUAAUUAACACUUCAUCUGUAAGAAUUUAUGUGACACUUUCCAUUUUUCGAGAAUGAAACAGUUUAAAUUUGAUCGUGAAUUUGGACACGAUCUUAAUUUUUUUGAAAUAAAAUUUAUAUAUUUAAAAACUACAUAAAACAAUCAAAGAAAUAUUUGUUUGAGUUUCAAACUCAAAAGGUGCUACAUAGAUUGUGACAGAUUUAUCUUCCUUCCUCAAGAGAAAGUAGUCUAUGCAAAAGGUAACCAAGUGGCUUUCCUUUUUUGAGAAGCACAAAUUAGCUAUCAUCAUCGCGAACAUAAAUGCUAUAAAACCUAAUACUUAAAUAUAACCUAUAUUAAAUUUAUCUUCCGUCAAAUGAGAACGGAAUAACAAUAUUAAAGAGAAAAAUACAUAGUAAUAAUUGUAACGCUCUUCAAAAACGAUUUUAAUUGUCAAUUAACUUUUUUAUAUCACUAAUAUUCUUAUUUUGUAAAUAAAAACUUCUAAAAUAUAUAUAAAUAAAUGUUAUAAUUGUAAUGAUGACACGAAAUAAACGUACAACACACGUUUUCAAGACUAGUACAUGACAAACAUACUUAAAAUCAGAAUUGUUGUUCUUAAUACAUCAAAUCAAAUCGUGAACAAAAUUAACUCAAAUAUAACCAAUUUCAAUAUUAUUAAUCCCAACAUUUUCGAUACAUCCUAAUCAAUACUUUCUUAUAUGCUCCAUCUAACGAACUAACUUAUUCGUCUCUAGUAGCAACAACAACAUAAUCAAUAAAAUAUCAUAAGUAAUGUCUGAAAAAUAUAAAGUAUAUCCAAACCUAACCACUAACUCAUGGAGAUAGACAUGUUAUUGUCAAAAAACACUCGACUUAAGUAUAGCAGAUCGAAUUACAAAAAAUCAGAAAACAAUGGUGAUGAAACGAUGACGACCAACACAUAACAACUAACCAUGAAUGCCUUUAUAUCAAAGAAUGCCUUAACAUCAAAGAAUAGUUUGAAAAUAUUAAAAUAGUGAGUAAUCAGAACUUCAUAUAUCUCAUUUUAUGUGACAAUUUUUGUUUUUCGAGAAUUAAAUUGUUUAAAUUUGAUCAUGCAUUUGGACAUGACCUCAUUUUUUUUUAUUUUUUGAAAUAAAAUUUAUAUAUUUAAAAAUUAUAUAAAACAGUCAAAGAUAAAUUUAUUUAAAUUUCAAAAUGAAAAGGUGCUACAUAGAUUGUGAUGGAGGAAUAUUACUCUUUCCGUUUCAUUUUAUGUGUUGUUAUUUUUUUUGUCCGUUCCAAAAAAAAAGGUCACAUUUUCUUAUUUGAUAACUAUUUAAAGACACAAUUUCACUUUUUAUCCUUAUUGGCCCAAUUUAAUUAAAAAUAGUAAUAGUAUAUUUUUUAAUAAAAGAAUAAUUUGGUAAAAAUCAUUACGUGUUUUCUUAUUUUUUAAACUCUAUCUCCGGUCAAAAACUAGUACUUUUUUUUUUUCCCCUCUUCAUUGGCGCAUUACACAUGGCAACAUUUCAUUGAGUGCGCACACAUUACACCUUUUUGAUUCCAUUUUCCCAAUGCAUAUUAAAUAAAGCGGACGAUCCGAGAAUUCACACUCAUUGGCCACUGCUCUGCUUCUUCGUGUGAGUUGUGACUGCUGAAAAACUCUCAAAAAAAGUUCAGCGAAAAGAAGCAAAGCAGAAGCUGAUAUACAUUUUUGUAAGUACUUUAUUUGCUUAUCCAAAUCGUUAAAAAAUGUACAGAAAAUGAGGGGUUUCAUGAUGAUUAUUUUGAUAAUUGUUUCAAGUUUUUGUGUUUGUUUUUAUGUAAUCUUUGUGGGUUUUGUUUAUUUUCAACAUCUGUUUUUGAUAGUUAAUGAUAUAUAGUUGUAAUGCUGUACGGUUUGUAAAAUUUUUUAUGGAGUUUUAAUGGAAAGAACUGGAGUUUUAGAGAAAUGAAUAACAAAUGAGUGAGAUGAGACUGAGAUGGUUCGGGCAUGUAAAUAAAAGGUGGGCGAGUUAGCCGUAGGAUUUUCGCUAAGAGGGUUCGAAAAGAUAAAAAUGUGGUGUUUCAUGAUUAUUUUUUUUGAUACUUGCUUUAUGUUUUUUGUGUUUGUUUUUAUGUAAUCUUUGUGGGUUUUGUUUAUUUUUAACAUCUGUUUUUUAUUUUUAACGAUAUAUAGUUGCAAUGUAGUAUGGUUUGUAAAUUUUUAUGAGGUUUUAAUGGAAAGAAUUGGGGUUUUAGAAAAAUGAAUAACAAAUGAGUGAAACGAGACUGAGAUGGUUCAGACAUGUGAAUAAAAGGUGUGGGAGGUAGCCGUAGGAUUUUCACUUAAAGGGUUCGAAAAGAUAAAAAUGUGGUGUUUUCAUGAUUAUUUUUUUUGAUACUUGCUUUGUGUUUUUUGUGUUUGUUUUAAUGUAAUCUUUGAGGGUUUUGUUUAUUUUUAACAUCAGUUUUUGAUUUUUAACGAUAUAUAAUUGUAAUGUAGUAUGGUUUAUAAAUUUUUAUGGGGUUUUAAUAGAAAGAACUGGGGUUUUAGAGAAAUGAAUAAUAAAUGAGUGAGACGAGAUUGAGAUGGUUCGGGCAUGUGAAUAAAAGGUGUGGGAGAUAGCCAUAGGAUUUACACUUAGAGGGUUCGAAAAAAUAAAAAUGUGGUGUUUUCAUGAUUAUUUUUUUUUAUACUUGCUUUAAGUUUUUUUGUGUUUGUUUUUAUGUAAUCUUUGUGGGUUUUGUUUAUUUUUACCAUCUGUUUUUGAUUUUUAACGAUAUAUAGUUGUAAUGUAGCAUGGUUUGUAAAUUUUUAUGGGGUUUUAAUGGAAAGAACUGGAGUUUUAGAGAAAUGAAUAACAAAUGAGCAAGACGAGACUGAAAUGGUUCGGGCAUGUGAAUAAAAGGUGUGGGAGAUAGCCGUAGGAUUUACACUUAGAGGGUUCGAAAAAAUAAAAAUGUGGUGUUUUCAUGAUUAUUUUUUUUGAUACUUGCUUUGUGUUUUUUGUGUUUGUUUUAAUGUAAUCUUUGUGGGUUUUGUUUAUUUUUAACAUCAGUUUUUGAUUUUUAACGAUAUAUAAUUGUAAUGUAGUAUGGUUUGUAAAUUUUUAUGGGGUUUUAAUGGAAAGAACCGGGGUUUUAGAGAAAUGAAUAACAAAUGAGUGAGACGAGAUUGAGAUGGUUCGGGCAUGUGAAUAAAAGGUGUGGGAGAUAGCCGUAGGAUUUACACUUAGAGGGUUCGAAAAAAUAAAAAUGUGGUGUUUUCAUGAUUAUUUUUUUUGAUACUUGCUUUAUGUUUUUUGUGUUUGUUUUUAUGUAAUCUUUGUGGGUUUUGUUUAUUUUUACCAUCUGUUUUUGAUUUUUAACGAUAUAUAAUUGUAAUGUAGUAUGGUUUGUAAAUUUUUAUGGGGUUUUAAUGGAAAGAACUGGAGUUUUAGAGAAAUGAAUAACAAAUAAGUGAGACAAGACUGCAUGUGAAUAAAAGGUAUGGGAGGUAGCCGUAGGAUUUCACUUAGAGGGUUCGAAAAAAUAAAAAUGUGGUAUUUCAUGAUUAUUUUUUUUGAUACUUGCUUUAUGUUUUUUGUGUUUGUUUUUAUGUAAUCUUUGUGGGUUUUGUUUAUUUUUAACAUCUGCUUUUGAUUUUUAACGAUAUAUAGUUGUAAUGUAGUAUGGUUUGUAAAUUUUUAUGGGGUUUUAAUGGAAAGAACUAGGGUUUUAAAGAAAUGAAUAACAAAUGAGUGAGACGAGAUUGAGAUGGUUCGGGUAUGUGAAUAAAAGUUGUGGGAGGUAGCCGUAGGAUUUUCACUUAGAGGGUUCGAAAAAAUAAAAAUGUGGUGUAUCAUGAUUAUUUUUUUUGAUACUUGCUUUAUGUUUUUUGUGUUUGUUUUUAUGUAAUCUUUGUGGGUUUUGUUUAUUUUUAACAUCUGUUUUUUAUUUUUAACGAUAUAUAGUUGUAAUGUAGUAUGGUUUGUAAAUUUUUAUGGGGUUUUAAUGGAAAGAACUAGGGUUUUCGAGAAAUGAAUAACAAAUGAGUGAGAUGAGACUGAGAUGGUUCGGGUAUGUGAAUAAAAGGUGGGGGAGGUAGCCGUAGGAUUUACACUUAGAGGGUUCGAAAAAAUAAAAAUGUGAUGUUUUAUGAUUAUUUUUUUUUUAUACUUGCUUUAUGUUUGUCGUGUUUGUUUUUAUGUAAUCUUUGUGGGUUUUGUUUAUUUUUAACAUCUGUUUUUGAUUUUUAACGAUAUAUAGUUGUAAUGCAGUAUGGUUUGUAAAUUUUUAUGGGGUUUUAAUGGAAAGAAUUGGGGUUUUAGAGAAAUCAAUAACAAAUGAGUGAUACGAGACUGAGAUGGUUCGGGUAUGUGAAUAAAAGGUGUGGGAGGUGGCCGUAGGAUUUUUACUUAGAGGGUUCGAAAAAAUAAAAAUGUGGUGUUUCAUGAUUAUUUUUUUUGAUACUUGCUUUAUAUUUUUUGUGUUUGUUUUUUUGUAAUCUUUGUGGGUUUUGUUUAUUUAUUAACAUCUGUUUUUGAUUUUUAACGAUAUAUAGUUGAAAUGUAGUAUGGUUUGUAAAUUUUUAUGAGGUUUAAUGGAAAGAACCGAGGUUUUAGAGAAAUGAAUAACAAAUGAGUAAGACGAGACUGAGAUGGUUCAGGCAUGUGAAUAAAAGGUGGGGGAGGUAGCCGUAUGAUUUUCUCUUAGAGGGUUCGAAAAAAUAAAAUGUGGUGUUUCAUGAUUAUUUUUUUUCAUACUUGCUUUAUAUUUUUUGUGUUUGUUUUUAUGUAAUCUUUGUGGGUUUUGUUUAUUGUUAACAUUUGUUUUUUAUUUUUAAUGAUAUAUAGUUGUAAUGUAGUAUGGUUUGUAAAUUUUUAUGGUGUUUUAAUGGAAAGAACUGGGGUUUUAGAGAAAUGAAUAACAAAUGAGUGAGACGAGACUGAGAUGGUUCGGGCAUGUGAAUAAAAGGUGUGGGAGGUAGUCGUAGGAUUUUCACUCAGAGGGUUUGAAACAAUAAAAAUGUGGGGUUUCAUGAUGAUUUCUUUUGAUACCUGCUUUAUGUUUUUUGUGUUUGUUUUUAUGUAAUCUUUGUGGGUUUUAUUUAUUUUUAGCAACUGUUUUUUAUUUAUAUCGUUAUAUAGUUGUAAUACAGUAAGGUUUGUAAAUUUUUAUGGGGUUUUAAUGCAAAGAACUGGGUUUUAGAGAAAUGAAUAACAAAUGAGUGAGACGAGACUUAGAUGAUUCGGGUAUGUGAAUAAAAGGUGUGGGAGGUAGCCGUAGGAUUUUCACUUAGAGGGUUUGAAAAAAUAAAAAUGUGGUGUUUCAUGAUUAUUUUUUUUGAUACUUGCUUUAUGUUUUUUGUGUUUCUUUUUAUGUAUUUUUUGUGGGUUUUGUUUCUUUUUAACAUAUUUUUUUUAUUUUUAACGAUAUAUAGUUGUAAUGUAGUAUGGUUUGUAAAUUUUUAUGGGGUUUUAAUGGAAAGAAUUGGGGUUUUAUAGAAAUGAAUAACAAAUGAGUGCGAUGAGACUGAGAUGGUUCGGACAUGUGAAUAAAAGGUAUGGGAGGUAGCCGUAGGAUUCACUCAGAGGGUUUGAAAAAAUAAAAAUGUGGGGUUUCAUGAUGAUUUUUUUUUGAUACUUGAUUUAUGUUUUUUGUGUUUGUUUUUAUGUAAUCUUUGUGGGUUUUGUUUAUUUUUAGCAACUGUGUUUGAUUUAUAUCGUUAUAUAGUUGUAAUGCGGUAAGUCUGCAAUUUUUUAUGGGGUUUUAAUGGAAAGAGCUGGGGUUUUAGAGUGAAGAAUGACAGAUGAGUGAGGCUGAGAUGUAGUGGACGUGCUAGAAUUUUCCGGAGUGGACGUGCUACCACUCUGGAGUUAGUGGUAUGAACUGCGUACAUUUUACCCUCCCCAGACCCUAGUGUAUGGGAAUACACUGGGUUUGUUGUUGUUGGUUUGAAAUAUAAAAAGUUAAACACACAAAGAGGUCAAAGAGGGUUCAAAACUUAUUAUAUAUAUGUAAAAAAUAAUUUUAACUCAUAUAUAAACAGUGUACCCCUGGGCCUUGCUGAGAAUUGAGAUGGUUCGGACGUCUGAAGAGAAGGUGUGAGAGUUUGGCUAUCGUGUGUAUAAAGAGAAAUAGAGGUAGGAUUUUUACUAAGAGGGUUCGAAAAAUAAAAAUGUGGGGUUUCGUGAUGAUUUUUUUGAUACUCACUUUUAGUUUUUGUGUUUGUUUUUAAGUAAUCUUUGUGGGUUUUGUUUAUUUUCGACAUCUAUGUUUGAUUCAUAUUGAUAAAUAGUUGUAAUGCAAUAUGGUCCGCAAUUUUUUAUGGGGUUUUAAUGGAAAGAACUGGGGUUUUAGAGAAGGAGGCGAGACUGAGAUGGUUUGAGUAUGUAAAGAAAAGGUGUGAGAGGUUGCUAUAAUGUGUAUAAAGAGAGGUAGAGGAAGGAUUUUAUCUCUGAGGGUUCGAAAAAUAGGUGUGAGAGGUUGCUAUAAUGUGUAUAAAGAGAGGUAGAGGAAGGAUUUAACUCAGAGGGUUCGAAAAAUAAAAAAUGAAUCAUAGACUAGAGAGAGCAGACUGCGACGGUUCGCGCAUGUGAAGAAAAGGUGUGGGAGGCUGGCUAUAGUGUGUAUAAAGAGAGUCAAGAGUUAGGAAAUUCACUAAAGAGGGUACGAAAAUUAAAAAUGAAUCACUUAGCCAAUGUAUACGAUUGUGUUAAGGAGAUUCAGUAAACUUUUUACGUACAUAAAAAUAAAUAGAAGACCUGAUUUAUAUAGUGUAAUUUUUUGCGGAGGGGUACCAAACCCCUAGAUCUGCCCCUGAGAGAUAUGACAUGACACACUUGCAACUUAUAGAGGACAUGACCCUAGAUAGUAAGGUAUGGAGGUGGAGGAUCAAGGUAGAAGGUUAGUAUGUAGUGGAGCAUAGUGUUGAUAGAUGUGGGCGCAUCAUCGCAUUAAGCGCUGAUACGAUGCGAUGCGAUGGGGACUCGCUACGAGUAAAGGAGGCGAGUCCAUCUGCAGAAAGCGGGCACAUAACCCUCUGAUGCGUGAUGUGUGCCGAUGCGCUCGUAUCGUGUUGAUUUUAUUAGUAUUUAUGCGUGACGUGCCAGUCACUGGAGCGUUGUCUAGUUUCCAUAUUAGUAUUGUUAUUAUUACUCUCCUACGAUGAUUUUCAUCAAUUCUAGUAUUACCUGUAUCUUUUGCUUUAGUGAUAGUAUUAUUUGUUGUUGCGCUGUUCUCUUUUGCAUUUUUUUAAGCAUGGCUUCUUCACUUCUGUAUUUUCUUUACUUGCUUGAUUUUUGAUAUGCUUUACUUGAGCCGGGGGACUGUCGAAAACGGUCUUAUUAUGUCUUUGUUUCAUGUUUCUGGGUUUAAGGGCUUAGAGGUGAAUUGACUGAAAUAAGAAUAUUAAUGUGCUGAAAUCCCUAAAGAUAGUUGAAAGGACUUAAUGAGUUUUUUUGAGGUGCAAAAGAAAAGAAGGAUCUCCUUUUUAAAUUUUACAGUAGCUUAUACUUUUCAGAAAAUGUUGACGGCAAUUAUUGGGUUUUCUAGAGGUGAAAAGAAAAGGAAAAGAACACAUCCUUUAAGGAAGCUUAUACAUUUCAGGAAAUGUUGAAAGCUCCUUAAGUUAAGGUUUCCUAAAAAUAUUAGUAAUCUGGGUAGCUUAUACAUUUCAUUAGCUUUUUGUUUUCUGAAAUGCUGAUGAACAUCUUUAGAUUUCAAGAUCUUUUAGUUUAUAUGAUUUUGGAAUUUCUCAUAUUUCUUAGAAGGAAUGCACAAAGUUACAUAUACUUUCGUCAUCCCAAGAAGAAUGAGUCAAUGCAUUCCAAUUUUCAGUGUUAAUAGAUAGCGAUUCUUAAUUUUUUAAAAAGUAAAAUUCAUAUAUUCAAAUGCUUCAUGAAAAAUACUACAACUCACAACCUUUCAUAUAGUCUCUCUAUUUCUUUUUUUUUUUUUUUUAGCUUUUUUUUCUCUUUAGAAAUAGGUUGAUUAGAGUGCAAGUGGUUUGUCAAAAACACAGUUUACAUUUAAGAGCAAAUUUCACCAAGCAAUCUCGGUUUUAACCUGAUGGACAUUUGUUUAAUCUUUUGUUUUGUUGCUUUAUUAUUUUACUGUUUCUAAACAAAUCCCCCUUUCUUGUUAGAAAUAAUAGUCCAGGCCUUAGUCCUUCCUCUUUUUCCUUUUAGAAAAAAAAAAACUCAUUUGGCCUUCCUAGAAGGACUAUGUUUCGCAGUUUCAGCUGGGAUAGCUAGUCUUUUAGCUGUCGAUUGUCUCUGUACUGUACUAUUGAUUGAAUAUGCUUUUUGAAAGGAGAGAUCACACAAGUGCACCAGUACAAGUUGGCACAAAAUUAAUUUACACUUUGAUUUUAUUUUUGAUGUAGGCGCUUCAUUCAGAUGACAAUCUCUGAUAUCGUGGAAGAAGUGGGAUGUAGUAGUGGAAAAGAGAAGACAUCCAAUGUAUCAACAAUAACGGAUUUUGAUGUGGAUAGUCUUUUUGUAGUAGAUGAUGAUGAUGAUUGGGAUGAGGAUGAGGAUUCAGAUGAUAAUUUUGAUGUGGCAUCAAUUAAAGAAUUGGGUGGAGGUUUCUUGAGAAACUUUUGCAAAAAGGCGUCAAGUGGUUUCUUUGAGAAGUAUGGUGUAGUUAACCACCAGAUUAGUUCAUACAAUGACUUCAUCAAGAAUGGAAUCCAAAGGGUGUUCGACUCAGUUGGGGAGAUCCAUGUUGAGCCAAGUUAUGAUCCAUCAAAGAAAGGCGAAGGUUAUUGGAAGCAUGCUUCUGUCAAGUUUGGGAAAGUAACCCUUGAUCGGCCAAAGUUUUGGGCAGGGGAAAAGUUUGCUGUGGAUGGUGAUAAAGAGUACCUGGACUUGUGGCCACGACAUGCCCGCCUUCAGAACAUGACUUAUUCUGCCAGGAUGAUGGUUGAGACUCGUGUUCAGGUUAGAAAAUGUUUGUUUUUGUCUAAUAUUCAGUUUCUUUUUUGUUUUUGUCUAUGGUCUAUAGUUUUACAUGUAUUGAUUUCCUUCUAUUUAUUUAUAUUGAUUCUUUUUCUUAUUAUUUUCGAUUUGAAUUGGCCAGAUUGUAUUUCUACUAUUUUUGGUAUACUCCUUGUUUACGGGUGACUUUUUGCCCCAACUCUGAUAAAAUUAUUACUUCAUCAAAAAAGUUGGAUUAUCUAGCUAUGUUCUAAAAUGAUUGCAUUUUCGUGUUGUUCUUCAGUAGAUUAAGUUGUCUAUCUUGUUAGUCUCUCUUGAACAGUUCUUUAUUAAAUGCAUUGCCCAUCUGAUGAAAAGUAAGAAAAUGGUCAUCGGAAAGGAAUAAGAGCUCUGAGCUGCAUGUAUCCUAAUCCUUGAUACUUUGUUAUCAAUUUUUGAACUUCACAAAAUUCACCCUUUAUUUGGAGUAUUACUAAUGUUUGAAAUAUAACCCCUUCUCAUCCAUGUUGUGCAAUAACAGAUUAACCCUGUUAGCAUUGAGAGUACAUCCCAAAUGUUAUUUAUUUUCCCUGUUAGUUUCUUAUUUUUUUAACGUUUUUGGCUGCCCUUGUAUAUGAUUUUAGGUGUAUACUGAAAAGCUAGUUAGAAGCGACAAGUUCAAAACUGGGGUAGAACAGUUUGUUGACAAGGAGUGUGUGAUGGAAGAUAAAAGAGAUGUCUUGACUGGCAGAAUCCCUGUGAUGGUGAACUCAGAGUUAUGCUGGAUGAGUGGUGCUGACCAGCCUGAUUGUGAAUUUGAUCAUGGGGGAUACUUCAUAGUCAAAGGAGCUGAAAAGGUAGAUCUUCCUGCUAGCACUUCGCUCUUGAUGCCUCACUAUCUUAAUUCUUACCUAACGAGGUCACAGAAAACAAGGCUGGACACUUGGUGGAACUUAGUACACUAUUUAAGCCCUAAUGAAUCCAAAGGGAAAAUUAAAGAUAUGCUAUUCAAAGUGCAGUCAUGUCAACCGUUUUACUGCACAUCAACCUAGCAUGACUCAAAACAGUGGGAUUUCACUUGUUAAUGUUAGAAUUUAUGUUUGAAACUAAAAUCUUAGUUUAUUGGAAUGUGACACCUUUUCCUAACAAUUGGUUAUAUUGAGUAUUGAAAACAAGAUGAGUCGAUUGGAGUCAAAUGCAUAAAAAUAAUUUGUUUAGUCAAGCCAUACUAGUUUAGGAUUGAGGCAUACUGUUGUACUAGUAGUUGUUAUUGCCUGAAUAGGUGUGUCAUUUGGCAGAUGUUGGAACUUUGAAAUAUCAGGUAAUUGCAAAACUUGUCUCCCUAUAAUGUAAGAUUUAAAAGAAGAGGACAGAGAGAAUAGAAAAUUUAACUUUCAUAUCAGACAUUGAUUAGAAUGAUGCGUAGUGUGAGGUUGUUCUGAAGGUGCUAUCUACUUUUUGGGUUUGUUAUUUGUUUUAAUUGAAGAUACCCUUGAAGAUUGAUCUUAUGUACCACUUCACAUAAUGUCCCCUAUUUUAGUUCGGGGGCUGAUGAAACAGUUUUGUAGCAUGCAUAGACUUUUAGGAGGAAGGCGACGUGCCUCCAUCAUAAUUUGAUUUAGUUGGAUAUUGCAUAUUAUAAGUAAGACAAGAAGUCUGAUUUGUAAGACAAGCUGCAAAAUAUUGUGAUAAGCUAUUUCUCUUGUGAAUGCCAGUCCAGGGAUGAUAUAAUAACUGUCUUUGACUCUUUGUAUAAUGUGUUGAUUUCGAACUGAUCAUGCUGCAUUUUUAAUACAAGUUGCACAAAUAUGUGGUGUAUGGGUUCCGUAUUCUUUCUGAAAGCAUGUAUUUGGUCAUUGUAUUUUUCUCCCAAAGUUAAUUUCUUUGAGCCGAGGAAUUUUUGCACAGCCUUUCUAUCUGACAAGGUCACUCUACCCUCCUCAAACUCAACUUGUGGGACUAUACUGGGUAUGUUGUUGUUGUACUUUCCUCCCCAAAACAAAAACCUUUGACCUUGUUGAUAUGCUGAUUUAGAGUGGCGCAUGGAUGCCUUCUAAUACUAGCAGCACAAAUCUGUAAUAGGUUAUUUACUUAUCUGAAAACCAAUCAACUAGUCUCGGUUCUUAUCUUUUAACCUGGAACAUGUAUUGGAAAGAACAAAAAUAGAAAGAGCAACUAAGGAACUUGAUUUUUUCAACAACUUUUGACAUUACAUAGAAUAUAGCGGAAGUAUGAUGGAUCCUAGAGCCAGGCCCUGUAUAACCUACAUGUGUCAGCUUGAAAUUCUGACGCAAGAAUUCAAGGCAUGAGCUUUGUGUUCCAUUAGGACGGUAGGCAACUUUUGGAGUGCCUCCUCAGUAUCUUAUAUAUGAUUCAACGUCAACAACAAAAUAUCUUUCUGUAAAAUGACACAGACCAAUUGGAGAUUGGAUUUCAUAGUUAGGAAGCUUAGAGACUCAUGAUUCUAAGUAUAUCAAUUGAUUUCUCGCUGCUUAAGGUUGUUCCUUAGAUAAUGAAUUUGAAGUGAGAAAAAGGUGAUACCCACUCAAGGAUGCACUUAUGGACUUAAUAUCUACUGUGCUUGUUGAGUUUAAUGCAGUUGUAACAACUGUUCAUUAUUGAAUGCUCUUUUUACGGCAUCAUCUGCAUAACUUAGCUGGUGGUGACAAAUGAACCAACAUUUUUCAGAAUAGUUAAAAAAGGGCAGUCCGGUGCACUAAAGCUACCGCUAUGCGCGGUGUCCGGGGAAGGUCCCCCACCACAAGGGUGUAUCGUACGCAGCCUUGCCUUGCAUUUCUUCCAGAGGCUGUUUCCAAGGCUUGAACCCAUGACCUCCAGGUCACGUGGCAACAACUUUACCAGUUACUCCAAGGCUCUCCUUCCAUUUUUCAGAAUAGUUCAACAAAUUAAUUUUUUCAGCUUCUGAUGUCUUGGGGACAAAAGGUUAUGUGAUGCUGGAAUGAGUGGGAUUUAUAGUUUCAGGACAAUCCUUUUCCAACUUCGAGGGAAAGGAUAAGGAACUGGUCAGUGUCUGCUUUCAUGUUAAUUCUAUUACAUCUUAAUGCCGUUUUAUAUGGAACUGGGAUCAGAUUAAGAUUUUUUCUUAUUGAUGAAGUAAUUUUGGGUGUGCAUUCAAACCUCAUGCUAUUACUAUAGUGGUAUAGAAUAUUGUUUAACCUGUUUGGCCCUUUAGAAGUAAAUUUCGUAUUGCAAUUCUAUUAAGAUUGAAAGCUCUUGCAAUUUCCAUUUCAGAUCUUCAUUGCACAGGAGCAGAUCUGUUUAAAAAGACUAUGGGUGUCAAACAAUCCCACUUGGAUGGCUGCAUAUCGCUCAGGUGAAAAAAGAAAAAGAGUUUACCUUAAACUGGUUGAGACAUUGAAGCUUGAGCACAUCAAGGGAGAAGAAAAGGCCCUCACUGUGUACUUCCUGGCAGAAAUGCCAAUUUGGAUCUUGUUUUUCGCUCUAGGAGUAUCCUCUGACAGGGAGGUAGUAGAUUUGAUUGAUGUAGAUAUUGAAGAUAAUAAUAUCGUAAGUAUACUAGUAGCUUCAAUACACGAUGCAAAUGAGAAAUGUGAGGAUUUCAGGAAGGGGAAAAAGGCUCUCGUGCAUGUUGACAGACUUAUAAAGAAUUGUAAAUUUCCACCUCAAGAAUCUGUUGGGGAUUGCAUAAAAGAAUACCUGUUCCCUAAUCUUAGUGGUCUCAAGCAGAAGGCUCGCUUCCUAGGGUAUAUGGUAAAGUGCCUCUUGCACUCUUACAUUGGUCGCAGAAAGGUUGACAAUAGAGAUGAUUUUCGAAACAAGAGAUUGGAUCUGGCUGGUGAGCUCCUUGAACGAGAGCUCAGGGCACACAUUAAACAUGCCGAGAGGCGUAUGGUGAGGGCAAUGCAAAGAGAUCUCUGCGGAGAUCGAGAAGUGCAACCAAUUGAGCAAUACUUGGAUGCAUCAAUAAUUACCAAUGGUCUCUCUAGGGCUUUUUCUACUGGUCAUUGGUGUCACCCUUACAAGAGAAUGGAGAGGGUUUCUGGUGUAGUUGCAACUCUUAGACGAACAAAUCCAUUGCAAAUGACUGCUGAUCUGAGGAAAACACGUCAGCAAGUUACAUACACUGGGAAGGUUGGCGAUGCUAGAUACCCGUAAGUGUUUAUAUAUCGGCCAUUUUGUUCAUGCUUUUUCGUUGGCAAAAACGGUUAUUUCAUUUGACUUGCUUCCUGAUCCUUUGCUCAUUGUCAUAAUGUUUUGGUAUUUUAUUUAUGUUUUCUUCAAGAAGGGGAGUCUUGGAGCCAUGGUAAAAAUGUCUCUAUGUAACCUAUAAGUCAAGGGUUCGAGCUGUGGAAGCAGCCACUAAUGCUGGAAUUAGGAUAGGUUGUCUACAUCACAACCCUUUGGGUGCAUUCCUUCCCCCGACACUGCGUGAAUGCGGGAUGCUUGUGCUCUGGGCUGCCUUUUAUUUCUGUUUCCUUCAACUUAAAAGUAUGAUAAACUAAUGACUUUCAAAAUAACUUACAGACAUCCUUCACACUGGGGAAAGGUGUGUUUUCUAUCCACCCCAGAUGGAGAAAAUUGUGGCCUGGUGAAAAAUUUGGCUAGUAUGGGUCUUAUCAGCACAACUGUUUUGAAGCCACUUCUUGAGACAUUGUUCCGGUGUGGGAUGCAAAAGUUAGUAAAUGAUAGUGCCACCUCACUCCACCGAAAACAGAAGGUACUUCUAGAUGGGGAUUGGGUUGGAGUAUGUGAAGAUUCUGCGUCCUUCGUUUCAAAACUAAGACGUAAGCGCCGCAGGAAUGAAGUACCACACCAGGUUGGCUCAUGAUCAUUUUCAUUUAAUUAUGCACAGCAGAAUCAUGGAACCUUGCUAUUGAAUAUUUAUUUGCAUAGCAAGUUCGUCACUGAUUCACCAAAAAGAUGGUUAUAAAAAUGCCAACCAAACAUAAAACUUGCCUUUUUCUCUUUUUUACUCAAGUAGGAUGUAAAUUUUUUGGCAUACUGUAUUGGAACAUUAUCUUGUAAGCACUACUGGAAUAUAAGGUCUGUUAAUUUGAUAGUCAAUACACUGAACAAACUAAAAUUUUCUUCUAGGUUGAAGUUAAGAGAGACGAGCAGCAAGGUGAAGUUCGCAUAUUUUCUGAUGCCGGAAGGAUUAUGCGCCCUCUUCUUGUUGUUUCAAAUCUUAAGAAAAUUAAAGCAUUGAAAGACGUAAUGAAAGGGGAAGAGUAUGGCUUCCAAACUCUUCUGGACAAUGGGAUUAUUGAGCUUAUUGGAUCUGAAGAAGAAGAAGAUUGUCGAAUUGCAUGGGGAGUUGAGUACCUCUUAAAAGCAGAUAAAGAGAAUCCACCUGCUAAAUAUACCCAUUGUGAAUUGGACAUGUCAUUUCUGUUAGGUUUAAGCUGUGGUUUAAUCCCUUUUGCAAAUCAUGAUCAUGCUAGGAGGGUCCUCUAUCAAUCUGAGAAGCACUCUCAGCAGGCAAUUGGAUUUUCAACAAUGAAUCCAAAUAUUAGAGUUGAUACGAAUACACAUCAAUUGUAUUACCCUCAGAGGCCACUUUUCGGGACAAUGUUGUCAGAUUCCCUUGGGAAACCAAAGUCUGCUCUUCACCAGAAGGGAAUGCUUCCACGGCCUGAAUACUACAAUGGUCAAUGUGCUAUUGUUGCAGUGAAUGUUCAUCUUGGUUAUAACCAAGAAGAUUCACUGGUUAUGAAUCGUGCAUCACUGGAGCGCGGAAUGUUUCGAUCGGAGCAUGUCAGGACCUACAAGGCCGACGUGGACAAUAAGGAAAGUAUUGGAAAGAAGCUCAAGGUGGAGGACUCUGUUAACUUUGGGAAAACCCAAAGUAAAAUUGGACGAGUGGACUGCCUAGAUGAUGAUGGUUUUCCAUUCAUUGGGGCAAAUCUCCAGAGUGGAGAUGUCAUAAUUGGGAAAUAUGCUGAAUCAGGUGCUGAUCACAGUAUCAAGUUGAAGCAUACUGAAAGAGGCAUGGUUCAGAAGGUUUUGCUCUCAGCGAAUGACGAAGGGAAGAAUUUUGCUGUUGUAUCUCUAAGACAAGUAAGAUGACCUAUAUGCAUAUGCUUCUACUUUUGUGAUUAUGUUUAUUUCUAUAUGUAACUUAGGUUUUAAGAUGCAGGUUUAUGAGAAUUUGAAAAACCAUAUUAAGUCUUUGGAACUGUGUGUUGGCAAUCUGCAAGCUUCUUAAAGUACUUGCGCUUCAUGCGGGAUGUCUUCAUGAUAAAAUAGAUAAUGCUACGUACAUAAAGACCAUAUAUAGCUUCAAGUGCCUUGAACCAUCUUAUUAAUGAACACAUCGAAAGAGUAGCCACUGAACUGAAUAAAAGCUGGUUUGUCUAUAAGUAGCAUUAGUAGACUCUGCUGAAGCUUCAAAACAAGAAGCCGUUGUAGAAACUUUCAGUUUUAUGUUUUAAGGUACUGCCUGAUGUAGAUAUUAUGAUCCAAACGUGUCCUUGUGAAGUAUUAUCCUGUGUCGAGGAUAAUAAACAACCCAAGUUCCCUGUUUUCAACGAAUGGAGGCAAUGUCCGAUGUACCAAGAGAGCACCCCCCCAAACGAGGGGUCUCUUUUUCCCCUCCUAUUGACAAAUAGAUCCUUCAACAAAUCCUUAUGAGGUAUUACUCUGCCACCAAUAUGGUGAGGGAGUUUUUGUCCUGAAAAGAUGCCUGAUUAGGUGAGUGGAGAGAGCUUAUAAGCUGUCCAAGCUCCUUUGUCUUUGACAUAUGUGGGUCAACGUUCCAAGUAUCAACAGCUUAUGUUAAGUUUUGACAUGAAUUGAACUUCUCACUGCAGUACAUUAUUUGAUAUAUCUAUUAGAAGUUUUUGUACUCUUAAGAGUUCGCACAGAAAGCCUACUGCAUAGUUUUUGUUUUGCUUACUUGUGUGAAUUGAAACAUGUAAAUACCGCGAAUUAGUACAGAUGUCAGAAUCCCUACAGGACUAGAUAGGGAAUACUUUGCUGUUUUGCUUUGACAACAUGGUACAGGGACAUCCUUUGUGUCUUUGUGAUACUUUUAUCUAUAAAGUUACUUUACCUUUUAAAAAGAGUUAGCAAAGCAAGCUGUGUAAGCAUUAUGUUUCUGUACAGUGUGAGUAAGUUGGUGAUACACAAUAUUAAUUAGUGGGGAAAUUGUAAUAAGUUCCAGAAGUUUCCAGAAGUAGUUAACACUGGAAAGCUAGUGUAGUUAGUUACUCAGCAACUAAAGUUAGUUAAGUAGUUAUAACUAACUCAAGUGGCCUAGUUAAUGGAUAGUGGAUCAUGAGCUCUAUAUAAACAUGUAAUCCAUUCAUUUUCAUAGAGAUAUACAAAACAUUAAUUCUUCUUUCUCAAAAUCCCUCUCUGUUCUCAUUCUCAUUAACUGUUUUUUCGAGUUAGUUACUCCUGAAGCAGUAAUUUUGAUCCUCGAGUUCAUUCGAACUCCUGUAGUCGAGUAAAAGAUAGUAUCAUUGGUAUCAAAGCCAAUCGAAUUCUUGGCAAUCAUGACAAAAACAGCUCCAUCCAUUGAUAAUUCCCCAGCUGACAUGGGAGAAAUAAGGGAUAUGUUGCAGAAAUUGACUACAAAUGUGAGCAAUUUGGCAGGGGAAGUUACUACCUUGAAGAAGUUGGAUCAGGUGGUAAUUGAAUUAACGAAUCAUUUGGUGAAUUCUGCAGAGACUAGGAGAGAUAAAUCCCCAUUAGGUCAAGCUGAACCAUCGAGGGUUAGGCAAUCAGUUGAGAGGGAGAACAGAGAUCAAAGCCCUGGCAGUUAUUACAAUCCCUAUUCCCAGUUCUCGAAAUGGUCGCGCAUGGAGUUUUUGAGGUUUUCAGGGGAUGAUUUGCGUUCUUGGUUGUUCAAGAUUGAACAAUUUUUUUCAAUGGAAAAUGUACAUGCUUCUGAUAAAAUUACCAUAGUCACACUACAUCUGGAAGGAGAGGCAAUUCAGUGGCAUCUAUCCUUCAUGAGGUAUCGACAAUAUCUUCAACCUAUUGGAUGGAAUGAGUAUGUGAUGACAUUGGUGGAGAGGUUUGGAUCUGACUUUGAUGAUCCUAUGGAGGAAUUGAAAAAGGUUAAGCAAGUUGGGACUGUCAAAGAGUAUCAGGCUGUGUUUGAAAGACAUCUUACUAGGGUGAAUUUGUCAGAAGAGAAUGCCAUUAGUUGCUACAUUGGGGGUUUGACACCUCAACUUAACAUUGUUGUUAAGAUUACCAACCCUACUACCUUGUCUCAGGUUUACAAGAGUGCAAGACUGCAAGAAGCUUACUUGAAUGUUGUUAAACCACCUGUAAGUUCACAUCAGGUGUUUAAUUCUAGAAAGAUAGGAGAUCAAAGACCUUUCAAUAAUAAGCCUCUACUACCUACUCCUAACAUCACCCAAGGAAACUAUAAUAAGAAUCUGAAUAGGAGAAGGUAAAUUAAUGAGAAGAGGGCAAAAGGUUUGUGUUAUUUUUGUAAUGAAAAAUAUACUAUGGGCCAUAAAUGUAACACUACUAAGCAAUUGUACUUGUUGGAGUUAGAAGAAGGGGAUGAAACAGAAAAGAGAGUGUCUGAAACUGAGGUGGAGUUGCAUGAAGAUGGGGAGAGCAAGAGCAAAUUGUUUCAAUAUGCUGAGCACAUGGAGAUUUCAAUACAUGCCUUAAAUGGUUCUUUGGGUUUUAGGACACUUAAGGUAACUGGAUAUCAUUCCAAAAAGGGGCUGCAUAUAUUGAUAGACACAGGGAGUUCUCAUAAUUUCAUAGAUCCUGAUUUAGUACAACAAUUAGGUUGUCCGGUCAGAUCUACUAGUCCUCAAAUGGUUGCUGCAGCAAAUGGGAGCAUGAAGGUGGAUAAAAUGACCACUAUUACUUGGUUACUACAAGGAGCUGAAUUUUCAACAGAGUUCCUGCUAUUACCUUUGGGUUCAUGUGGUGUAGUAUUGGGGGUUCAGUGGUUGUUAACCUUAGGAGAUAUCAAGAUGAACUUCAGGAAUUUGACCAUGGAAUUCUGGUACAAGGGAAGGAAACAUCUGCUAAGAGGAGCUGGUAACCAGGUGCAGACUUCUGGAGCUAGUAAAUUAGCUAAAUACUCAGGUAACCAAUCUCAACUUUGUAUGAUUCAAGUCAUGCCUAUGGGGAGUGAACAAAUGAAGAGUCACCUAGCAUUACUGGAGGAAGAUAAAACUGAAUGUGAUCAAGCUUUAUUGAAUCUAUUAUCAGAGUUUCAAGGGUUGUUUGAAGAACCUACUGGCUUACCACCUCAUAGGGGAGUAUUUGAUUAUAGAAUUGUAUUGCAGGGGGGGACUGAGCCUAUGAAUAAGAGGCCAUAUAGAUAUCCUUCCAUUAAGAAGGACAUUAUUGAAGGUCUGGUACAACAAAUGUUAGACCAAGGGAUCAUACAACCUAGUUGUAGUCCGUUUUCAUCCCCAGUGAUCUUAGUGGGCAAGAAAGAUAGUACCUGGAGGUUGUGUGUUGACUAUAGGGACUUAAAUAAGUUUACUGUGA